GCGACCGUGGCUCGGGAGGUAGAGCAGGUUGUCUAAUAACCAAAGGGUUAGCGGUUCAAAUCCGCUCUGAGUCA